AUGCCAACUUAAAAUAUAAUUCUUAUCAGAUUUGAUCUUCAACUGCAAUCUUGACCCAACCUGAAGUCCUGAACACUCGGAACAUGCAUCUGGUGGCAAAAGUUCCAAACAAUUCUUCCAGAUCACAUGCCUGGAGAUUAGACCUCAGUUUGGUGCAAAUGCUUUAGAUUGUCAUUUUCUUUUCCUGGAAACCAGCUCAAAGGAAGGCAAAAC
rnacentral:misc_RNA from 1 species